GACGAACGCUGGCGGCGUGCUUAACACAUGCAAGUCGAACGAUGAAGAAGAGCUUGCUCUUCGGAUUAGUGGCGAACGGGUGAGUAACACGUGACUAACCUGCCCCUUUCUCUGGGAUAACGCCCCGAAAGGAGUGCUAAUACCGGAUACUCACAUCGAGGCACAUGCCUUGAUGUGGAAAGUUUUUCGGAAAGGGAUGGAGUCGCGGCCUAUCAGCUUGUUGGUGAGGUAACGGCUCACCAAGGCGACGACGGGUAGCCGGCCUGAGAGGGCGACCGGCCACACUGGGACUGAGACACGGCCCAGACUCCUACGGGAGGCAGCAGUGGGGAAUAUUGCACAAUGGGCGAAAGCCUGAUGCAGCGACGCCGCGUGAGGGAUGAAGGUCUUCGGAUUGUAAACCUUUUUCAGUAGGGACGAAGCGAAAGUGACGGUACCUAAAGAAGAAGCACCGGCUAACUACGUGCCAGCAGCCGCCGUAA
rnacentral:rRNA from 1 species